rnacentral:rRNA from 1 species
AUUGAACGCUGGCGGCAGGCUUAACACAUGCAAGUCGAGCGGAGAUGAGGUGCUUGCACCUUAUCUUAGCGGCGGACGGGUGAGUAAUGCUUAGGAAUCUGCCUAUUAGUGGGGGACAACAUUCCGAAAGGGAUGCUAAUACCGCAUACGCCCUACGGGGGAAAGCAGGGGAUCUUCGGACCUUGCGCUAAUAGAUGAGUCUAAGUCGGAUUAGCUAGUUGGUGGGGUAAAGGCCUACCAAGGCGACGAUCUGUAGCGGGUCUGAGAGGAUGGUCCGCCACACUGGGGCUGAGACACGGCCCAGACUCCUACGGGAGGCAGCAGUGGGGAAUAUUGGACAAUGGGGGGAACCCUGAUCCAGCCAUGCCGCGUGUGUGAAGAAGGCCUUUUGGUUGUAAAGCACUUUAAGCGAGGAGGAGGCGCUCUAGGAUAAUACCCUAGAUGCGUGGACGUUACUCGCAGAAUAAGCACCGGCUAACUCUGUGCCAGCCGCCGCUGUAAUAC